CCUACGGGUGGCUGCAGUGAGGAAUAUUGGUCAAUGGGCGCGAGCCUGAACCAGCCAAGUAGCGUGAAGGAUGACUGCCCUACGGGUUGUAAACUUCUUUUAUAAAGGAAUAAAGUGAGGCACGUGUGCCUUUUUGUAUGUACUUUAUGAAUAAGGAUCGGCUAAAUCCGUGCCAGCAGGCGCGGUAAUACGGAGGAUUCGAGCGUUAUCCGUGUUUAUUGGGGUUAAAGGGAGCGUAGAGGGGUUGUUAAGUCCGUUGGGAAAGUUUGCGGGCCAAACGUCAAAUUGCAAUUGAUACUGGCAGUCUUGAGUACAGUUGAGGUAGGCGGAAUUCGUGGUGUAGCGGUGAAAUGCAUAGAUAUCACGCAGAACUCCGAUUGCGAAGGCAGCAUACUAAACUGCAACUGACAUUGAUGCACGAAAGUGUGGGUAUCGAACAGGAUUAGAUACCCGGGUAGUC
rnacentral:rRNA from 1 species